rnacentral:rRNA from 1 species
UACGUAGGUGGCAAGCGUUAUCCGGAUUUAUUGGGUUUAAAGGGUGCGUAGGCGGAUCGUUAAGUCAGUGGUCAAAUUGAGGGGCUCAACCCCUUCCCGCCAUUGAAACUGGCGAUCUUGAGUGGAAGAGAAGUAUGCGGAAUGCGUGGUGUAGCGGUGAAAUGCAUAGAUAUCACGCAGAACCCCGAUUGCGAAGGCAGCAUGCCGGCUUCCGACUGACGCUGAAGCACGAAAGCGUGGGGAUCGAACAGG